GACAGAGGGUGCAAACGUUGUUCGGAUUUACUGGCGUAAAGCGCGUGUAGGCGGCUUUGCAAGUCGGAUGUGAAAGCCCACGGCUCAACCGUGGAAGUGCAUCCGAAACUGCAUGGCUCGAGUCUCGGAGAGGAUAGUGGAAUUCCCAGUGUAGUGGUGAAAUACGUAGAGAUUGGGAAGAACACCAGUGGCGAAGGCGGCUAUCUGGACGGUUCUGACGCUAAGACGCGAAAGCGUGGGGAGCAAACAGG
rnacentral:rRNA from 1 species